CAAAAACAAGCGCCAGGUGAAACGGAAGCACAUAUUCCAUCACAGGAUCCAAAAUACAAGGCAAGACAAGGUCAAUCUUCAUCCACAUCAGACAUGACGGAGCAUGCUGAGGAUGACGCACAGGGAGGUAAAGUGGAUGCUUCAUCAGAGCUGACCGCGUUGUGGAAAAAAAAGGACACUGAGGUGGUGGUGUCUGUAGUCCCCACGCAAAUAAGAGGCAACAGUUUUACCAUCCGUCACUCUGACAUGCGGACC